GCCCCCGUAGCUCAGCGGACAGAGCAGGCGCGUCCUAAGCGCACGGCCGCAGGUUCGAACCCUGCCGGGGGCUCCA
rnacentral:tRNA from 1 species